CAGGGCGUAGCGCAGUCUGGUAGCGCACCGAGCUUGGGCCUCGGGGGUCGCAGGGUCGUAGCCUGCCGCCCUGA
rnacentral:tRNA from 1 species